rnacentral:rRNA from 1 species
UACGUAGGUGGCAAGCGUUAUCCGGAUUUAUUGGGCGUAAAGGGAACGCAGGCGGUCUUUUAAGUCUGAUGUGAAAGCCUUCGGCUUAACCGAAGUAGUGCAUUGGAAACUGGGAGACUUGAGUGCAGAAGAGGAGAGUGGAACUCCAUGUGUAGCGGUGAAAUGCGUAGAUAUAUGGAAGAACACCAGUGGCGAAAGCGGCUCUCUGGUCUGUAACUGACGCUGAGGUUCGAAAGCGUGGGGAGCAAACAGG